GGGGGUAUAGCUCAGUGGGAGAACAUUUGACUGCAGAUCAAGAGAACCCAAGUCAAGUCCGGGUGCCCCCU
rnacentral:tRNA from 1 species